rnacentral:rRNA from 1 species
AUUCGGGCUCCGGCCCGAUCCUCCCACCCUUUGUGUACCUACCUCUGUUGCUUUGGCGGGCCGCGGUCCCCCGCGGCCGCCCCCCCUCCCCGGGGGGUGGCUAGUGCCCGCCAGAGGACCAUCAAACUCCAGUCAGUGAACGUCGCAGUCUGAAAAAACAUUCAAUAAACUAAAACUUUCAACAACGGAUCUCUUGGUUCUGGCAUCGAUGAAGAACGCAGCGAAAUGCGAUAAGUAAUGUGAAUUGCAGAAUUCAGUGAAUCAUCGAAUCUUUGAACGCACAUUGCGCCCCUUGGUAUUCCGAGGGGCAUGCCUGUUCGAGCGUCAUUACAACCCUCAAGCUCUGCUUGGUAUUGGGCACCGCCCUUCUUCGGGCGCGCCUCAAAGACCUCGGCGGUGGCUGUCUUGCCUCAAGCGUAGUAGAAUACACCUCGCUUCGGAGCGCAGGGCGUCGCCCGCCGGACGAACCUUCUGAACUUUUCUCAAGGUUGACCUCGGAU